rnacentral:rRNA from 1 species
UACAGAGGGUGCGAGCGUUAAUCGGAAUUACUGGGCGUAAAGCGCGCGUAGGCGGCUUUGCAAGUCGGGUGUGAAAUCCCCAGGCUUAACCUGGGAACUGCAUUCGAGACUGCAUUGCUAGAGUAUGGGAGAGGGAAGUGGAAUUUCAGGUGUAGCGGUGAAAUGCGUAGAUAUCUGAAGGAACAUCAGUGGCGAAAGCGACUUCCUGGACCAAUACUGACGCUCAUGUUCGAAAGCGUGGGGAGCAAACAGG